rnacentral:misc_RNA from 1 species
CCGCAAUUUAUUUAGAAAUCCACAUUAACAUAACAAUCCCUAAAAAGUAUCGACACUGAAUAGGAAAGAAGAAAUUACCAAUCUCCGCAAAACCCGAACUUUCUCGAUGAUCUCGUCCGACCCAAACUCCGGUCUGACCUCAAGAUUAAAAAGCCUGGACAAGGAGAAUGAUCCAAGCUUAUCAACCAGGUUCCUAACGUGAUUUGAC